rnacentral:rRNA from 1 species
AACGGGGGGGGUUAGUAUUAUUCAUCAUAACUGGGUGUAAAGCGUAUGAAGGCGGUUAAUUAAGUUAAAAUUAAAGAAUCUAAGCGUAACUUAGAAAUUAAUUUUAAUACUGAUAAACUAGAGGCUAAAGGAAGAAAGUUAUAUUUUCAAAGGAGAAAUGAAAUUCAGAGAUCUUGGGGAGAUAACCUGCAGGCGAAAGCGACUUUCUAUUAUAGUUCUGACGCUAUAGUACAUAAGCAUGGGGCGCAAACGGG